UUAACUCAAAUUUGUAUGUAGUUAGAACGUUGGUCUACGUUUGCCGCUAGGGGCGCUGUUCCAACUGCAUACAUAUUAAGUUA
rnacentral:pre_miRNA from 1 species